UAGAUUCAAAAGUGGUAAUGUAUGAAAGUGAUAGAAAGAGUUCAUUAAUAAAAAACAAAACAAAAAAAAAAAAAAAAAAAGUGAACAAUAGAAGAAAGAAAGCGAUGAAUGAAUCUGAAAAUUGGACGAACGCAACGGCGUCGUUUCGUUUCUCAAUACAAUUUCUUCUUGCACCGUGAAAAGAAACCCUAAUCCCCAAAUUGAAGGAUUAAGGUUUCUCUCUCCAAAUCAAAAUUGAUUCAUUAGCCAAAGUUAUUGAUGUUGAUGUCAUUUGCAAAGAAGCCUCCAAUCAAUCAUAUUGUUCAAAUCUUCUCAACUCAAAGCCAGGAGGAGCAAAAGGUCAGAUCUUGUCGACCUUGCGCGAUACACAAUUGAAAUACUUAACUACAAUUGGAGCGACACAUAUAACCCAAUCGGUAAAUUGUUUCAAAGUGCUGAAAAUGAUACGGUAGCAAAUUAUUAUUAUCGUUGUUCACUUGAUCUUUUGAGCAAUGGUGGUAGUGUCAGUACUAAGGUUGGGGAUGCACAGGUAGAUUUGUAUUACAAAAGGUAUGCAGCCAUGGCUAAAGAGUCAGCUGAUAUUAUGAAAUACAUUCUUGAAUGUAUUGAUAGUCUUCAUAAACAUGAAACCAGCCCUUUACUAG